rnacentral:rRNA from 1 species
GCCCGUUAAUGGGUGAUGGCGUGCCUUUUGUAGAAUGAACCGGCGAGUUACGAUUUGAUGCAAGGUUAAGCAGUAAAUGUGGAGCCGUAGCGAAAGCGAGUCUGAAUAGGGCGUUUAGUAUUUGGUCGUAGACCCGAAACCAGGUGAUCUACCCUUGGUCAGGUUGAAGUUCAGGUAACACUGAAUGGAGGACCGAACCGACUUACGUUGAAAAGUGAGCGGAUGAACUGAGGGUAGCGGAGAAAUUCCAAUCGAACCUGGAGAUAGCUGGUUCUCUCCGAAAUAGCUUUAGGGCUAGCCUCAAGUGAUGAUUAUUGGAGGUAGAGCACUGUUUGGACGAGGGGCCCCUCUCGGGUUACCGAAUUCAGACAAACUCCGAAUGCCAAUUAAUUUAACUUGGGAGUCAGAACAUGGGUGAUAAGGUCCGUGUUCGAAAGGGAAACAGCCCAGACCACCAGCUAAGGUCCCAAAAUAUAUGUUAAGUGGAAAAGGAUGUGGCGUUGCCCAGACAACUAGGAUGUUGGCUUAGAAGCAGCCAUCAUUUAAAGAGUGCGUAAUAGCUCACUAGUCGAGUGACACUGCGCCGAAAAUGUACCGGGGCUAAACAUAUUACCGAAGCUGUGGAUUGUCCUUUGGACAAUGGUAGGAGAGCGUUCUAAGGGCGUUGAAGCAUGAUCGUAAGGACAUGUGGAGCGCUUAGAAGUGAGAAU